rnacentral:rRNA from 1 species
AACGAACGCUGGCGGCAGGCUUAACACAUGCAAGUCGAACGCCCCGCAAGGGGAGUGGCAGACGGGUGAGUAACGCGUGGGAACAUACCCUUUUCUACGGAAUAGCUCUGGGAAACUGGAAUUAAUACCGUAUACGCCCAACGGGGGAAAGAUUUAUCGGGGAAGGAUUGGCCCGCGUUGGAUUAGCUAGUUGGUGGGGUAAAGGCCUACCAAGGCGACGAUCCAUAGCUGGUCUGAGAGGAUGAUCAGCCACAUUGGGACUGAGACACGGCCCAAACUCCUACGGGAGGCAGCAGUGGGGAAUAUUGGACAAUGGGCGCAAGCCUGAUCCAGCCAUGCCGCGUGAGUGAUGAAGGCCUUAGGGUUGUAAAGCUCUUUCACCGAUGAAGAUAAUGACGGUAGUCGGAGAAGAAGCCCCGGCUAACUUCGUG